GGGUCAGUGGGUUGGUCGUGCCACCGGUACGUACUGGUCUCACUGAUUCCUCCUUCCUGAAGAACCGUAAUGCCAUUAAUUUGGUGUUGCGGGGAAACAGGACUGUUACUUUGAAAAAAUUAGAGUGUUUAAAGCAAGCUAACGCUUGAAUACAUUAUCAUGGAAUAAUGAAAUAGGACGAUCGAUCCUAUUUUGUUGGUUUCUAGGAUUGACGUA
rnacentral:rRNA from 1 species